rfam:Triticum aestivum genome assembly, contig: Triticum_aestivum_CS42_TGACv1_scaffold_434170_5DL
GAUAUACUCCCUUCGUUCGGAAUUACUUGUUGCAGAAAUGGAUGUAUUUAGAUGUAUUUAAGUUCUAGAUACAUCCAUUUCCGAGACAAGUAAUUCCGAACGGAGGGAGUAGUAU